AUGGACAUGAGGGACAGCUCUCAGAUCUUGGGGCUUCUGCUGCUCUGGUUUUUGGGUGUGAGAUGUGACAUCCUAAUGACUCAGUCUCCAACCCUUCUGUCUGCAUCUCUGGGUGACAGAGUCAGCAUCACAUGCAAGGCCAGUCAGAACAUUGCUCAUGGGUUAGCUUGGUAUCAGCAGAAACCAGGGGAAGCUCCUAAACUCCUGAUCUACCUCACAUCCAUACUGCAAACUGGGAUCCCAUCAAGGUUCAGUGGCAGUGGAUCUGGUACAGAUUUUACUCUCACCAUCAGCAGGCUGGAGUCUGAAGACAUUGCCACUUAUUACUGUCAACAGUACAUUAAUACCCCUGCCACAGUGAUUCAAGUCAUAACAAAAACCUCAUAG